UUGGUUUCCUGUAAACAAACACGGCAUCUGGGGCGGUCAAGGGGUAUCUCUGCUGUUGGUUAAGCCAACAGCAACAAAUCUGGCAACAAAAUCUGCUUUCCUUUGGGGAACACUCUGGCAAGUCUGGGGCGCGGCUGACCCCGCUUGAACCGCACGGGUGGGGCCCAUGCAUAAUGCGGGCCCGUCUACAUGGUAGCCCGGCCGCCAAGCAAAGCCUAGAACACCGUGUGUAGCCCAGCAGUUCUCAAGUGUUUUUAUCCCAGCAGCUCUUUGUGCCUGUCCAUACCGCGGAGGGCCCCAGGGAGUUACCCUCAGGGAUUAAGUCAUCUUUUCUGCCGCCUGGAGAAAGGCUGCCUGAGGAUGAAGCCCGACCAAGAAAGCACAACCAAGAGGCCGAGAAUGAAGAACCCACACACCACGAUCUGACCACUCGGAGCAUGUGCAAAGUGAGACCUACCCCGGCAUUUUUCAGAGAAUCACAGAGGGACCCUCACGGCCUCGGGAGUCUCCAAAGCAAGCUGCGUGAAAUAAUGUAGAGAAUAAAUGAGCAGUUUGGAACUCCGUCGCUUCCCAAAAGACCUACACAAUUUCUUGCUGUUGGUGAAGUUCAUCAGGACUGAGAAAAACAGGGAGGUUAGUCUUCCGGCAGAACCGGCCCCAGAAACUCAGGCAAGAGACUCUGGGGUGGACCCGGGAAGCCAGAAGUGAGGUAGGUUGACGCACAGUCCUUAAAAAUUGGACCUCCGAGGCAGACUACUAAUCCUCAACCCUCCCACUUAGUAAUAAAACUCCUGAUUUUUCACUGGGCUUGUGACCGUCCAAAAUAAAGGGUACAUUUCCCAGCCCCCCUCCCCCCUUACAACUAGAGACGCCAUGUGACUAGGGACCAGGCAAUGGAUGGCGUGUUUAACUUCCAGCAUGUGCCCUCAGAGAAAGGGGACUUGCUCUUUUCCUCCCUCUGGCUGGAAUUUAGAUGUGAUGUUGAGAUCAUGAGUGGCCGUUUCAUACCAUGAAUUAAACCGUUAAGGAUGGGAAAGCGGGAAGAAAAGGGAGCCAGGGUCCCUGGUGAUUGUGGAGACAUCAUAAACCUUGGCCGCCUGCAUCUGGCCUUGCCUGUGAGAGAAACACGGAUUUCCGACUCUUUAAACUCCUGGAAUUAUGGAUAUUUUUUAGUUUUCUGUGAUGGGCGGUCAAGCCGAAUCUGAUCCGAUAAAACCCCCGAGAGACAAAUUCUCUGCAAGUGAAAAUUAGCAAAUGCUCGAACCCAAGUAGGAGACCCUCCAAAACUCUGCCGCAGGUCUGGGACGGACAGCGUGAUAUGAUGUGUUUCAGAGCCGAUGAGAGAGGCGUUCAGCCCCUCCUCCCAGGGUUGGUGACGUUAACUCCGAAAUGAUGGGGACUGUCCUACUUUCUCUGGCUGUGGCCCUGGGUAACUUGAAGAGGCUGCUCGCUCUCAGAUUUGCUUUCCUUCCCACGCGGGCUCUAACCUUGGAAGGGAGGUGGUUGAAAGCUACAAGGUCAGUGUGUUUGCAUGCUCGCUUUUUGGAAAUUUGCUUUCCCAGCCCCGGCAAGACCCCAGCGCUUGUCAGCACCUCCAGGAGCACCAGAGAGCGACAUUCACCCCGUGGUUCUCAAACCUGAGUGUGCAUCAGAGUCCCCUGGAGGGCUUGUUAAAGCGGCUCUUGGUACCAGAAGCCCACAGCUUAUGAUUCAGCGGGUCUGGGGUGAGGCGGAACAUUUGCGUUUGCGACAAGUUCCAUGAACCGCACUUUCAGAUCAGAUUAUAUAUAGAAACAAAUAUAAUAUCCUUUCCGUCUCGGUCUCCUCUUUGACCAGGGGAAGUGUAACCAGACAAAAAUAACUAACCGAGGUCAAGGUACUGUGCCCAAAAGCAGAACUGAAGAAGAGGGCGGUGAAUGAAAAGGAAGAGUCCUUCAGAAUGAUCUCUCUGGAAGCCGGAAGUGCAGGAGGCAGAGGGCCCUUUGGAGGGGGCUCUGCAGAGGCCUGGUCCAAGCAGACAAGGCAGGCCUGGUAGAGGCUGGGCCCCUCGGUUUCCUCAUCUGUGAAAUGAGGCUAAUAGCGUCGUCCUUGUGCGGGUUUCUCUGGAUCAUAAAUGUCACCGCCGACCGGCUGGGUCUGUGGACGGUACUAGCUGUCAGAUCAGCCUCCUUUCCUCUCCCCCCCCCCCACCCCGACCUCCCGCCGCCCCAAACUCACAACCUUCUGCAUUUCCUGGCUGAGUCGGCAGAUGGGGUAGUUGAGUCGCCCGGUGAGCCUCGCCUGAGUCUCGUCCUCAAAGCAGCUGUCCUGAGCUGCUUCCAUUGGGGACAAACCUAUAUUCCUUCUUGACUGCUCCUCAGAGGAGGGCAGCGGUCCUGGCCGGAGGCGGCAACAGCACAAGGUCUGAGGUUUCACCUUAAACACCCAGCCGAGCUGCCGGGAGGCCCCAGGCGUUGCAAACUGGUUUUCAUGCUAACCGCAGCUAAGCCGGGUGUCUGUUGUUUCCUGAAGGCGUGCUACGGAGAACCUUCUUCAGGGUCCAACUCCUCAUCAGAUUCAUACUCUUGUCUGUAAGGAAGGCUUUGUUAGUUGCCUGGCUUUAAGGAAGUGUUCGGUUUUUGGUUUUUUUAAGCGUUUGGAGUCAAGGAGAACGAACGCGUUGGCUCUCCGCUGUUUCAUCUGCUUGGGUGAAGGGAAGCGGAUGUUCCAGGUUGGACAAGAGACUGAAACGAGCUAAAGAAAGGCAGCCCCUUCUAUCCGGCCGCCUUUCCUACAUCUGUCCUCAGAAGUUCCUGCCCAGCCCCUAACUUUCUAGGAUUCGAUACCGAUCGCCUGGUCUGCUCUGCUCCAAGAAGCCAGGUUAGCGCUGGACCAAACACGAUGUGUGGAGGGCUGAGUCAGGGCGUCUGUGUCACAGCAGCCACGGGAACAGUCACUGCUGGGUGUCGGGGGCAAAGCCCAGAGCAGUAAUAUUCCAGAGCACGAUUGAUCUCCAGAGCAUUGUGGCGUAAUAGAAUUGCUGAGGGUUGCAGGUUCAGUUUGAGCAGCACUAUCCGACCCUAUCAGACCCAAUGCCCUCCCCUUUGAUGACAAAUACUGUGAAUUCUCCCCUACAGCCUCCUAAAAGGACAUGCACAAGUGUCUACCCAGAGUUUAUCUGGCCCACUCUAAUGUCCUCACAAUAGAUAAAGGAUAAAUAAAAGAGAAGUGGUUGUAAUAAAUUCAUACGUAUUUCAGCAGCUAGAAGACACAAGGGAGUAGUCUGAUGCUUGUGCCUGGUCACGCAUUCACCCAAAGAGGACAACCGCCAAGCGGAAUUGAGUGUUGGUGACUCAGAUCCCACGAGCGGCAUUGUACUGGUGAAUAAUUCUCUGUCAGAUUCCAACCAAGCGUAAGUGUAAUCUUCCCUUCAUUUACAUAGAAGUAUCAAGUUGUAAAAGAUAAAUUGUGUUUAUAUGUAGAACA